rnacentral:rRNA from 1 species
UACGAAGGGGGCUAGCGUUGCUCGGAAUUACUGGGCGUAAAGCGCACGUAGGCGGCUUCUUAAGUCGGUGGUGAAAUCCUGGAGCUCAACUCCAGAACUGCCUUCGAUACUGAGAAGCUCGAGUCCGGGAGAGGUGAGUGGAACUGCGAGUGUAGAGGUGAAAUUCGUAGAUAUUCGCAAGAACACCAGUGGCGAAGGCGGCUCACUGGCCCGAUACUGACGCUGAGGCACGGAAAGCGUGGGGAGCAAACAGG